CAUGACCAGUGGCUAUAGCACUUUAUAGUUUGCACAUGUGGCACAGAGACAAAGGCCCUAUGUAAGAUCAGGGUUUUACUCUGUGCAGGAGGGUUGACUGCUACACAUAAGGACUUGCAGGACAGAGAGGGAAGGAGGGACUCUGCCCAGCUUAGUCUGUUGAUACACUACAGACUCACAGAAGGAGUUCAUACUAUGGGAGGCACAUGACUCAGUGAUUGGGUCCACUCACUUUCGGUUAGUUACUAGACCAGUUUGCAUCACCCUUUAAUUGAGGGUUUAAGUCUGAUAUUGAUAAACAGAAACAUUCCUUUACACUUUCUGCUUCUGUCAAGGUUCCUUCCCUACUCUGAACUCUAGGGUACAGAUGUGGGGACCUGCAUGAAAGACCCCCUAAGCUUAUUCUUACCAGCUUAGGUUAAAAACUUCCUCAAGGUACACACUUUGCCUUGUCCUUGAACCCUAUGUUGCCGCCACCACCAAGCGCAUUAAAGAACAGGGAAACGAGCCUACUUGGAGACGUCUUCCCCCCUAAAUAUCCCCCAAGCCCUACACCCCCUUUCCUGGGGAAGGCUCGAUAAAAAUGCUCACCAAUUUGCAUAGGUGAACAUAGACCCAAACCCUUGGAUCUUGAGAACAAUGAAAAAAGCAAUCAGGUUCUUAAAAGAAGAAUUUUAAUUAAAGAAAAAGUAAAAGAAUCACCUCUGUAAAAUCAGGAUGGUAAAUACCUUACAGGUAAUCCAAUUCAAAACAUAGAGAAUCCCUCUAGGCAAAACCUUAAGUUACAAAAAGACACAAAAACAGGAAUAUACAUUUCAUUCAGCACAGCUAUUUUACCAGCCAUUAAACAAAAGGAAAUCUAAUGCAUUUCUAGCUAGAUUACUUACUAACUUAAGGAGUUAUGAAGAGCAUUCCUGAUCUGUUCCCGGCAAAAGCAUCACACAGACAGACAGACCCUUUGUUCCUCCCCUCCCCCCCAGCUUUGAUAGUAUCUUGUGUUCUCAUUGGUUAUUUUGGUCAGGAACCAGCGAGGUUAUCUUAGCUUCUUAACCCUUUACAGGUGAAAGGGUUUUGUCUCUGGCCAGGAGGGAUUUUAUAGUUCUGUAUACAGAAAGGUAGUUACCCUUCCCUUUAUAUUUAUGACAGCUUGUUAUAUCAGACACCUAAUAUAAUAAUAGAUAUGGAUAUCUACAAGUGAAACAAAAAUUAAUCUAUCUUUCUUCAAAGUAAACACCUUGAUCCAAAUUGGCAAGUGUUUAAUUUUUAUUUUAUAGUAAUAUUUCAUUGUUGAUUCUUAUGGAAACAUACUUUUCAUGAAUAUGGAUUUUCAUAGUCUUUGUUUAAUUAAACUGCUUUGGCAGGAGAAGGUGAGAAAUGAACUUAAACUCCCUAGAUCCUUGAUUGCCAGGUUGUGUUUUGUUUUUUGUUUUUUUUUUACUUCCAGUGAAAUUGACUUCCAGUGAAAUUGUCUGAAAGAGAACAUCCUGUUUCUAUUGGAUUUAUGGGGAGAGAAUAAAUUAACAAAACAAAUUUUCCAUGACUGCUUCUUCAAAUUCAAGCUAUGGAAAUGGUCAUUACAGUUUAGAGGGAAAAUGUAUGAUUACAAAUAAGCUGUAACAAAAUCAAGUGUAGUAUGGCUAUCAUUGGCCCAAUAUGAAAAAUCAGUUCAAUGUUAAAUUAUUCGAUGCUAUAUGUUUGUGGCAGGUGUCCAUUUAAACACCAAGGAAUUCUUCCUGUUGCUAUUUGUUAUAGAUAACCAGAAUUUUAAUUUUUGAUAUUCUUGGUGGUCCUUCCAAACUCAUAAUGAAAGUAUCUGAUUCCAUUGAAUAAACUGAUAUGAUUAUAAGCACAUUCUACAUAUUAGCAGAGCAUUGGGUCAGCAUUAUCUAAGUAUUUACUUGGCACAGUAUAUCUUAAAUAAUGCAGAGAGAUUUUUCUAAACGCUCCUUUUUAAAAAAAAAAAAAAAAAUCAAACCACAAUGGUAGUCACAUUAGGUGUUAACUAAAGGUGAAUCACAUCAGGCAUUUGUUAGACCCAAAUCCUUUUCUAGUAUAAUUUUAAGGCAAUGACUAAGUGAAAUAUGUCUCGUCUUGAUAAGUAGCUUAUGUGUUUUAGUGCCAACAUUCUGACAAUAAAUUAAUUUUUUUCAGCAAAGUUCUUGGUGUUUUAAAAAAAAUAAAAAGCUUAAUGUUAGAGAGCAAAGGAAAUUUAAUGACUAAUCCAUUUUGAUGGCCAAAAAAACCACUGGAAAUGAAAUUAAUCAAUGUGACAUCUUGUGUGUAAUGUCAAUAUGACUAAUUGAAGGAUUUUAGCUCAGAUUAAAUUGAAUUUCUUAUUAAAACAAACUAGUUUGUGCUUUCUUGUGGUAUUAAAGUUUCAUGGAGAGAUGACAUAGUGAUGAUCAUUUUUAAAGCUUUUAUUCAUUUAUUAUAUUACAGAAGAAUAAUUAUAUUAUAGUCAGCUUUGUGUAGUAUUCUGCAGAAAUUAUGGGAAAAACAAGCAGUGUGGUGUGCAGGUAGAAGAGGCUGCUCUAACUAAGCUGUAGGUUUCCUUCUUCCAAAUGAUACUGCAUUUAUCAUCAAUCGCUUACGCUGGAAGUGGUGUGAAGGUACAAUACAGUGAUUUGAACUUUGGAUAUGUUUUGGCCUUUUGAGGGAGAGGUACCCUAAGGUAUUUGAUUAAAGAAAAACCCAGCAAAGCUCUAAAUGACUCUUUAAAGUUUCUGGUAUAUGAAGCAUAGUAGAGAAGAAAUUUUCAUCUCUCUCCAAAAGAGGUUAUAUCAACUGAAGUCUCCAUGAGACUCUGUUGUUUCAGUGCUGGUCUCGUACUACAUCAAAAGUUUGUAUCAAAACUUUUGUGGGCAACUGAAUUAGAUUUUUGGGGAGCAUUUGAUCACUUAAAUAUAGCCCCAUGGAGGUUUACACAUCUUGUAAAAUAGAAUUAAACUGUCAGCUUUGUAUUCAGAAAUUCUUGAGUUACUUAUGGAGUCAGAAAAUAAGUUACCAACAGGAGGUGGCACACAAUAGAGAAGUGGGCAUUUCUGUUUCCUUCAACUCAGAUUCUUUCACGUUCUAUCUUUAGUUCCAUAGCCCCUGUUAGUUUUUCCUACUCCAGGAAGAGCAAGUCGGCUCAGGAGGCUACUCUGGGUCAGGUUAUUUUAUCUGUUUUCUGUAUGGCUGAAAUUUUGAUGGCUAUAGCUUUUUAUUUUAGACUUUAUCCCUCCAGUAGUUCUGCAGUGGAUUCACAACAGCACCUUUAUACUACUGAAGUGAUCAUUAUGAUUAUUUUAUUAUUCAUAUUACCAUGUAACUUGUGUAGCCUGUCUCUAGUCAUAGUGUCAGGUCAUGGACCAGAUGGCAAUCCCUGGCCAUAGUAAUGGGGCUUUCCCUGCAUAUCACAAAAGCUGCAUGUUGCUUCAAAGGCCUUUACCAGCUCACUUGGAUGAAGACUGCAGCCCUGGGCCAUAGACAAAGGUUGCAAAAUGCCACAAACAUAGUAAGAAGGAAGUUUCUGGUAUUCCUCCUUGAUUCAACCAUGUGAUGACUCCAUCCCAUAAAUCAGAGACAUAAUGUAAAACAGAACUUGUCUGCUCUUCCACACCCCAAAAAGUAAGCAGUAGGAAUACUGAUGUUCAUAUUGUGCCUUUAGGGAGCCUCUAGCUCAUGUGGGCUAUUUUUGUGGGCAUUGUGGGAAGCUAUCCCCCUCUCCUCUUGUCUCCUCUGCAGUUAGAUUCUGAAGGAGGAGAACAGGGAUCUUCUCUGCUAAAACUUUUCCAAGGGUCCCUAACCAUGAUUGUCUUCACUAACUACAGCAGACACUCUGAAAAUGUGUCUGGAAUCUCCUCAUGUCACUUCUCUAAAAGAGAUUUUUUUAAAAAAAAAGUAAGAUUUUUGUGUGUUACCUAUGUGCAUGCCAUUGCAUUUUCUUGGAAAUACUUCCCUUCCUAAUUAUUUCAGAAAGAUAAAAUGGCCAGAAGUGCCACAAGCAUCAAGAGACAACAGAGGCUGCCAGCAGAGGAAGCAUGGAAGGCUGCUGGGAGUGUCUGCUAAUAUGCUUGCCAGAUCCUACAGAGGAAGGGCAAGAAGAAGCCAUGAAUGAAAAAGGGGUUGUAGUAGUUGGUAGGUCAGGCAUAUAGACUGGCUACCUCUGCUUUUCCCUGAGACCUUGGACGAGAGCAAGGAUCCCCUGUAGGGAUUGUGAACAGGUUUCAUGAGUUACGACCAUCCCUCCUCCCCCCCCCCAUAUUUUUUCUUUUUGUGGUUUUUCUAGUCCUUGUGUUUGCAGAGAUAAUAUAAAAAAUGAACUAAAUAUGCAGUGAUUGACAGCUUGAAUAACUCUGAUAUGUGAACUUCCCAUUCUUCUCAAGCAGGGCUGCGGACUCUUCAAUUUUGUUGCCAUGGAAUCAGGUUUUUCCCAUGAUGCCAUUAAAUGGAGAAUUCUGUCAUCUCAUUAAUUUAUUCUUCUGCAUCCAGGCAUCCAUUGUUUUUUUUCCCCCUGUCUCCCUAUCCUGCUGGGACCUGCAGCCUCUUGCUCUCCCAGCUUCCCCUCAAGGUGAAGUUAAUUGAAUUACAGUAUGUCUAUCCUGCACUGUUCCAUGGAGAUGGACAAGGCAGUCCCAACCACCCUCCCUUUCUUUCCCUCUCCUGUAGAUCUGUUUCUUGCAGCCUGGCUUUUUGUUCUAAUGGACUCAGAUCUAAAUGCAUAUCAGAAUGCUUGAGACCUACCCACAAUGCUUCAAAGAGGCUGUUGCAGUAGUUAGCAAAGUAUUUUGGGAUAUGCAUAGAGCUAAUAAUAGGAAGGAGCACUGAGCUGUUUCAAGAUCUAACAUCCAUCUUUACAAAAGAAAUGCAUAGAAUUCUUCAAGCAAAAGCUUAUAAGUUUUCAAAACCAGAAGAUUGUUUUAUUAAUGGCAAUACUACGAACAUGAAAGCCCUUAAGUAUUAUAUUUAGUGUUACUGUGAAUAGUGAAAGCCGCCAAGCCUCAUUAUAAUUUGAGGAACCAUUAAUAGCUCUCUGUAUCUUGAAUAUUAUCAGUGUUUUGUUGGGAUCUGCUGCUGCUGUUAGUCAGUUCAAGCCAUUCUCUUUUCAGUGAUGCAGUCCGCUGUCAGAUUCACAACAUGGCUGCAGACGUCUGUGAACUUCUUAGUACAAUGGAUGAAGGUUGAGAUCCACUGAAUUUAGAGACCUCCCAGAUUAAAUCAACCUGUGACUGUACCCUCAGUAUAGACGAGGUUGUUUGGUUUACACUUGCUAUGGUUUUUCAGGGAAGAAAACAACUCUGUCCUUCCCAUCUCACCUCCCUAUAGACAUCUUGUUAAAUCUUAUAAUCCCAUAUUUUCUAUUUUAAAAGUCAAUAGCUGGAAAUGUAUCAAUCUAAACCAAAAUUAGCAUCAUUUUGUAUGCCACUUCACCAGCAAUGUGCUGCAAAGCUUUGAUUAUUGUCAGUACAGGUCUGCAUACUUCAGUAAACAUGAAUCUCAGCACCAAAGUCAGAACCCUCUGGAAAGUUCUACCCGUAUGGGUCUAAAUAUUGAGAUUUCAGGUAAGGAGCUGUGGCCCAGAAUUCUGUUUUUCCAACCUCCAAAGCCAUAAGGUUGGAACUCCAUUUGAAAAUUUCAGUCAGUACAGAAUAGUACAUAGGGCUUGCACAAAGAAUUAUGUGGCUAUAUAAGCAGUUGCAUAACUUCUGCCUUUUGAUGGAGCAGUUGAGACUGAACCAGGCAGUGAUAGAGGAUGAAGGAAAUGCAGGUGUCAGGGACAGCCUUUUAUAGAGCCCUAUGGGAUCAGAAGCCCUGAUGGAGGGAUCUUGGAAGCUAUGCAGGACAUAGCUAUGUGUAACUCCUGAAAGUGCAGAGAAGAAGCACUAAGUACCUUAGGAGCUCCAUUUGAAUGUAGCUAGGGGCAGGCUGACCUUUCUCCUGCACACUUCAAGCAUGAUGCAGCUGUGGAUG